GAGGGUAUAACUCAGUGGUAGAGUGUGUGCUUAGCCAGCACAAGGUCCUGGGUUCAAACCCAAGUACUUCUA
rnacentral:tRNA from 1 species